rnacentral:rRNA from 1 species
UGCCAGCAGCCGCGGUAAUACAGAGGGUGCAAGCGUUAAUCGGAAUUACUGGGCGUAAAGCGCACGUAGGUGGAUAUUUAAGUCGGAUGUGAAAGCCCCGGGCUCAACCUGGGAACUGCAUUCGAUACUGGGUGUCUUGAGUAUGGUAGAGGGAAGUGGAAUUUCCGGAGUAGCGGUGAAAUGCGUAGAUAUCGGAAGGAACACCAGUGGCGAAGGCGACUUCCUGGACCAAUACUGACGCUGAGGUGCGAAAGCGUGGGGAGCAAACAGGAUUAGAUA